AAGCUAUCGCCUGAAGAGGGGUUUGCGUCUGAUUAGGUAGUUGGUGAGGUAACGGCCCACCAAGCCGACGAUCAGUAGCCGGUCUGAGAGGAUGAACGGCCACACUGGAACUGAGACACGGUCCAGACUCCUACGGGAGGCAGCAGUGGGGAAUCUUCCGCAAUGGGCGAAAGCCUGACGGAGCAACGCCGCGUGAGUGAUGACGGCCUUCGGGUUGUAAAGCUCUGUGAUCGGGGACGAACGGUCAGCAGACCAAUACUCUGCUGAAGUGACGGUACCCGAAUAGCAAGCCACGGCUAACUACGUGCCAGCAGCCGCGGUAAUACGUAGGUGGCAAGCGUUGUCCGGAAUUAUUGGGCGUAAAGCGCGCGCAGGCGGCUUCUUAAGUCCAUCUUAAAAGUGCGGGGCUUAACCCCGUGAUGGGAUGGAAACUGAGAGGCUGGAGUAUCGGAGAGGAAAGUGGAAUUCCUGGUGUAGCGGUGAAAUGCGUAGAGAUUAGGAAGAACACCGGUGGCGAAGGCGACUUUCUGGACGACAACUGACGCUGAGGCG
rnacentral:rRNA from 1 species